AAUCAACGCUGGCGGCGUGCCUCAGACAUGCAAGUCGAACGAUUAAAGCUCUCUUCGGAGAGUGCAUAGAGUGGCGCACGGGUGAGUAACACGUAAGUAAUCUACCCUCGAGUGGGGAAUAACGUCCGGAAACGGACGCUAAUACCGCAUAAUGCAGCGGCACCGCAAGGUGACAGUUGUUAAAGGAGAAAUUCGCUUGAGGAGGAGCUUGCGGCAGAUUAGCUUGUUGGUAAGGUAACGGCUUACCAAGGCUACGAUCUGUAACCGGUCUUAGAGGACGGUCGGUCACACUGACACUGAAUAACGGGUCAGACUCCUACGGGA
rnacentral:rRNA from 1 species